rnacentral:lncRNA from 1 species
CUAGUUGCUUAUUUUAGUGAAUUAUGCUGCAUUCAGUGGGAUACAGCAAACAUACAGCAAAGUCUACACAAAUCUCUAGCUGAUAAAGAACAGUACAAGCAGCACCUGUGCCAAGACCCCCAGAAGGUAUCGUCUCUCCUCCUCCCAGAUGGAGCCUCCCCUCUGAGGCCUGCCGCCAUCAACACGCAGGUCGUAGGUUCCUAGAAACCAGUCCCUGAACUCAGACCCUACCACGCACCAGCCUGAGUUCGCAAACAGACAAGCCUUUGGAGCCAGUCGCUCCACACUGGGGACGCUGUGGGCCUGGAGCCCGUUACUCAGGCGCUCCACACAGGGG